AUGAUCAAAGAGAGUAACCGAGAAAAUGUAAAAAAAGCCAUAAGUAGUGGACGAAUUGGUACUGGCACAGAGCUAAAUCAAGACCAGUCACUUCAAAGGGCGGGAGACACCUGUUGGGGUUCUCACUAUAGAACCCUCUCAAGCUUAAUCAGGUUGUUCCCAUCAAUUGUUAGUGUCCUGAAUUAUGUAGCAAAAGAAGGCAAGAAGGAUUCCAAGAAAAGUGAAGCGCGGGGCCUUCUAUCAUAUUUUGGAACCUUUGAUUUUGUGUUCUAUUUGCACAUGAUGUUCCAUAUAUUAGGGAGUGCCAAUACUUUGUCACAUGCAUUGCAGAAAAAGGAUCAAGAUAUCUUGAAUGCCAUGUCAUGUGUGAACUCAACACGAAAUGAUCUACAACAACUAAGAGAUGAUGCAUGGGAACCACUUCUAGAGAAAGUAUAUUCAUUCUGUGAAGAACAUGACAUUCCUAAGGUAAACAUGCAUGAUGAAUAUGUCGAUCGGCAUAAACCAAGAAAAAGAACCAAUAUUACAAACCUUCAUCAUUACCAAAUAGAGUGCCUUAAUUCUGUUAUUGAUUGGCAACUCCGAGAGUUCGAUGAUAGAUUCAAUGAAGUGAAUUCUGCACUGCUUAUCCACAUGGCUUCUUUCAACCCAAAAAACUCCUUCGCUGCUUGUAACUUGGAGAGUUUAUUGAAGCUAUCUUAG
rnacentral:rRNA from 1 species